GGAUGUCAGGAGACCUCCCUGUUGUAAUUUGUUUGGAUCAGUUCAGCUGUGGCCUUCUUUUCAUCAAAAUGUCAAAAGAACUUGGAGAGUUGUCAAAGUCUGGAAUGCCCUAUCUGAUCCAGUUAUCUCAACUACAAUUUUUCACAGUUUCAGUCACAAAUUGACUUCCAUGGACCUUACUUCAUACUUAAGUGGCACCUGAAGAGUGCUGUCAAAUGCUAACAUAUUAAUUGUUGGAACAGAACCAUCUGAUAGCAAUUGCAGUUCAGAUGGUGACUCUGAGCAAUGGUCGACUGAAGAGGACUCUGAAAGACCAUUGUAGACCACCAUGCCAAAAAGAGAUGAUAUACUGACUACUCAGAACUCCUUUCUAAAUCAAGGAAAGGACAGUGAUCACCACAGCUUGUUCUAGUCAGAAACUCCCUGUGAAGAGAACGUAAAAUGGCAAUUUCCAGCUGGUUUGGGAGCUCUGGUAGCCAGAGCAGGAAACAUCCAGUCUAAGUUUUGGUUUGGCACCUUCAAAAGGAUACUGGGUUUGUCUGCUCUUCUAUCUACAAAUUGCUUGUUAAUGAGUGUUUCUAGAUGUUAAGAACCUUUGGCAAAACAAGCUGUAUUGGGAGAUUCACCUUUUACCCAGAUAAAAGUUAGUUUAAGGAUUAACAAGGAAAGCUUUAAUCUUUGGAAAACAGCAAAAGGGAGAUUAGACUGUUGAUUUUGGAAAGUUAAGGGUUAGAAGAACUUGAAAGGAUAUACCUGUAAGGUGUUAAAAUUUUUACAAAAAAUAUAUAAUGACUUUGAAAUUAACUGUACGUAAAUCUCCUAUGGGAAUUUUUUUUGAUUUGGAAAAUAAACAAAAGAUAAAAGGAGAUUUGAAGGUUGACUAAAGGGAACAAGAGAGAACAAACAAAUAUGAUUAAAAGAGAAAUGACCCAUUAAUACAAUGGUCAAUACUAUUUGACUAAAGAAGAAAGGCUGUUUGGGAACUAUGUCCUCAGAAAUUACUUACAAGAUUGUGUGAUACUAUAAUGAAGGGUAUAGUAGAACAACAGAUAUUAUUAGAUAAACAGAUAUUGAGUCUGAUGUGAAUGUGAAUUUGGAUUUAUUUAUUUUUUUUAAAUUCUGGUUUACAAAAGUAAUAUGAAAAAAGAUGCUGAAGAUUUGAAAAUGUAUUUAAAAAUGUCAGACUGUAAAUGUGAUAUAGAAAAAGAUGCUAAAAUGGAUUUACAAAUGAAACCAGUUGAUGUCUUAAUAAUUAAAGGUACCAAACAAAGAAUAAAGCGCAACUUGGAAAGCCCUCUCAUCUUGGAUUUACAAAAGAAAGGUGUUAAACUAAUGAAGUUGUUCCUGAGAGAAGAAAAAGAGAUAUUAUUGAAGUUGUUCCUUCAAGGAGGCAAAGAGAAAAUGAUAAGAUAUUAACUUGUGGGGCAUUAUUUGAUUGAUUAAAGAUCAAGCUGUUUAAAAUAAAACAGAAGAUUUAUAAAGUGAAUUUAUUUCAUAAACAAGUUGUGGUUUCUGGUAGAUAUCAAUGGGAUUUCUUUUUGACUAGGACUGAGUGAUAAGACUUUAAAGAUUGGUGUGGAAAAAUUAAUUUUCUUUAUUUUUUAGAGAAAGCAAUAUAGAUAUAUUUGAUUAAGACUAAAAUAUACCAUAUUUUUCGGAGUAUAAGAUACACCUUUUUCCCCCAAAAAAGAGGGUGAAAAUCUGGGUGCGUCUUAUAGUCCGAAUGUAGCCCCACCCAGGUUCUCAAAUGGAGGUUUCAGAAGCUGAAAAAAGCACCAGAAAUGAAGCUUCAGAAAAGGAGCCCCCAAACAGAGCUUCAGAAAAAAAGCCUCCAAACAGAGCUUCAGGGAAAAAAAAAAAGCCCCCAAAGAGAGCUUCAGAAAAGAAGCCCCCAAACAGUGCUUCAGAGGCUUUUUUUCUAAAGUUCUGUUUCAUAGGCUUUCAGAGGCAGGAAAAGUUUUUUUCUGAAAUGGGGUUUCAGAAGUUCAGAGGCAGAAAAAAAAGCCAAAAAAAAAAAAAAAAAAGCAAGCCACAGAGUUCAAAACCAAGAAACCUUUUGCUAAAAUUCACAUCUGGGAACAACUGAUUCGGGGUAUUCCAGGAGGCCGAUCCACCUGCCAAUUAGCUUUUUUCUUAUUUUCCUUCCCAAAAACUAAGGUGCGUCUUAUACUCUGGUGCGUCUUAUACUCCGAAAAAUACAGUAUGUUAUGAUUUCUGACAACCCUUAAUAAACUUUUGCUGAUUAGAACUGAUAA